rnacentral:rRNA from 1 species
GAGUUUGAUCCUGGCUCAGAUUGAACGCUGGCGGCAUGCCUUACACAUGCAAGUCGAACGGCAGCACGGGAGCUUGCUCCUGGUGGCGAGUGGCGAACGGGUGAGUAAUGCAUCGGAACGUAUCCUGGAGUGGGGGAUAACGUAGCGAAAGUUACGCUAAUACCGCAUAUUCUGUGAGCAGGAAAGCGGGGGACCUUCGGGCCUCGCGCUCUUGGAGCGGCCGAUGUCGGAUUAGCUAGUUGGUGAGGUAAAGGCUCACCAAGGCGACGACCCGUAACUGGUCUGAGAGGAUGAUCAGUCACACUGGAACUGAGACACGGUCCAGACUCCUACGGGAGGCAGCAGUGGGGAAUAUUGGACAAUGGGCGAAAUCCUGAUCCAGCCAUGCCGCGUGUGUGAAGAAGGUCUUCGGAUUGUAAAGCACUUUAAGUUGGGAGGAAGGGCAGUAAGUUAAUACCUUGCUGUUUUGACGUUACCGACAGAAUAAGCACCGGCUAACUCU